rnacentral:lncRNA from 1 species
UGGCGGCAGCAUCGUCGAGACCAAUUAAACGAACAUCAUCUUUGUUAUACAAGCUCAAGAAACUGCAAUUAAAAAAUUGAAUCAAUAAAUAAUUAGUGAGUAAAAGAAUUAAGUGAGAGAGAAUAGAAGAAGAGUAACACUUACUUGGUGCAUAAGAGGCCAAGGGAUUUUUGUUUACGGUCGUAAGUGUGGUGUCGUGAAGGAGGAUCGGAGGAGGAAGCAGCCAUGGAUCUGAAAUUCGAAAUUUGGAGGGAAGAGAGAGAGAGAGAGAGAGACG